GAUGAACGCUAGCGGCAGGCUUAAUACAUGCAAGUCGAGGGGCAGCAUGAUUGUAGCAAUACAAUUGAUGGCGACCGGCAAACGGGUGCGGAACACGUACACAACCUUCCAAUAAGUGGGGAAUAGCCCAGAGAAAUUUGGAUUAAUACCCCGUAACAUAACGAUGUGGCAUCACAUUGUUAUUAUAGAUUUUUCGCUUAUUGAUGGGUGUGCGGCUGAUUAGAUAGUUGGCGGGGUAACGGCCCACCAAGUCUACGAUCAGUAGCUGAUGUGAGAGCAUGAUCAGCCACACGGGCACUGAGACACGGGCCCGAUUCCUACGGGAGGCAGCAGUAAGGAAUAUUGGACAAUGGACGCAAGUUUGAUCCAGCCAUGCCGCGUGAAGGAUUAAGGUCCUCUGGAUUGUAAACUUCUUUUAUAAGGGACGAAAAAAGGCUUUUCUAAGUCGUCUGACGGUACCUUAUGAAUAAGCACCGGCUAACUCCGUGCCAGCCGCCGCAGUAAUAC
rnacentral:rRNA from 1 species